AAAAAGGAGAAAGAGAGACCGAGAGACAGAGAAAUAGAGAGGCAGAGAACGCAGAAGGAGAGAGAGAUCGAGAGAUCAAAAACUGCACGCUCUAAAAAUUGAAACCCAAAACACACAAUCAUCCAUUCUUUCCAUUUGUUAACACAAACGGCCAAAAGAAAAGAUUUUCCCUGCCGAUGAAAAAGAAAAAACAGAAGCCCAUUGACAUAUUUCCACGGUUUGCAAUCAAGAAUGAAAAGAAGUCUCUCACUUUCCUGUCAGAUUUCUUCAUCUAACUGUCCAUUAAUUUCUUUCACCGUUUGACAUUCUCAUCUGCACGCCCUCAAGUUCAACCAGAUUUCGGAAUCGGAAUGAUUGUGUUAGUGAAAUAAGUUGCAUCACUUCCCAAUGAAAACUUCCAAGUCACUGUAACUAAGACCUGCUCUUCCACCCUGUUUCGUUUCUUCUCUGUAACUCCAUACACACAUGGUCAGAAUAGCGUGGUUAAUUUCCCUCUUUCGGAUACUCUCUCUGAUGAUUUGGCCCACUUUUUAACUGUUUGCAUGUUCCGUUCCAGACCAACAGACAGAGGAAAAAAGAAAAUCCAAAAGGAACUAGAUUCUCUCGACAUUAUUAGACUUUCACUUUUGUUAGGUGCAAACUGGAAUUUUGUGUAUGGACAUGAUGCUAUAGAUUUCUGGUGGGCAUCAGUAUAGCCAAUUCAUAUUUCAUGGGGCUGGUAUCUCACCCUUUCAAUUGCCAGGUUCUCUAUACAAAGGUCUGUUGCUAAAAGCAAAACAUGAGGGUUCCAAGUAAAAUAAUAGUUUUCCUUUAAAUUGGUUUGAAGAUAUCUCCUCCAACCAAUUACAUGGCAUUUAGAUGAUUAAACACAUGUACUUUAAUCACAUGACAUGUUAAGCCAUAUUUAAUCAAGUAACUUGACUAUUAAAUUGAUCACGUGUGGAUGAUCAGUUGAAUGCUAUAUGGUGAGUUGGAGGGAAAACUAUGUUCCAAGAAAAAUCCCUCUUUUGAUGGAAUCAUUGUGUUUUCCUCACAAUCACUAUGCCUUUCUCAUCUGUCACAAAUAUAAUGCUGAACAUCUUCAUCUAGGCAUCAAUUGUCCAAAACUGGCUUUAUAGCGGUUGUGACAAGUGUUUUAGGACUUAAUAUGCAUGAAGAGUACAAGAUGAAGUUAUCAUCAUGCAAGAUGAAAUUAUCAACAUGACAAACUCGCUAUUCUCACAUGAAAAUUAGUCUAUAGGAAACCAUUGGAUCAAUUUCCUGUAGAAAUUUCUUUUUCCUGAUUUUUGGCGGCAUGAGCUCUCAGUUACCAAGUAGCUAGGAAUGUUGAGAAUGAAUUUUUACAAAUUUUUUAAUUUGUCACUAAGAAUGAAUUGUUAGUUCAGUGAAUUUGGAUUUGAUUUAGAGGUGGCUCGGUGUUUUUGAAAGUAUAUUUGUAAAAAAAUUGUGGGUUUGUGAAUGUGAUCUUACAUUGGAGAUUCUUACUGAUUUGGUGGUGGCAGUGGUAUUGAACUUGGACUUUUUUUUU